rnacentral:rRNA from 1 species
UACGUAGGGUGCAAGCGUUAAUCGGAAUUACUGGGCGUAAAGCGUGCGCAGGCGGUUUUGUAAGUCUGACGUGAAAUCCCCGGGCUCAACCUGGGAAUUGCGUUGGAGACUGCAAGGCUGGAGUCUGGCAGAGGGGGGUAGAAUUCCACGUGUAGCAGUGAAAUGCGUAGAGAUGUGGAGGAACACCGAUGGCGAAGGCAGCCCCCUGGGUCAAGACUGACGCUCAUGCACGAAAGCGUGGGGAGCAAACGAGG